AGACUGCAGGCCAACCUGGAGGCUGAGUUCGAAGCUAAUAGGGCGACCAAGUCAGUGUCGCCCGCGGCGUUGAGAAGACGGUUUGGCCUAGGAGAGGGUGGAGACAACUGUGACGGGCUUCCCGGCUGCCCGAAGUGGGAGUGGUGUGGGGCUGCAGGAAGGAGAGAGGAAGAGGAGCAGAAGGGGGCAGCAGCGGACGCCUCUAACGGCCUCCCUCGGCGCUGACAGGCUGGGCCGGCUCUCGGCUCGCUCGGGUGUUCUCGUCGUCACUUCGGCCUCUCGGCCGCUCGGGCCCCUCGGCCCGGGCUUGCGGCGCGCGUCGGGGCUGAGGGCUGCCGCGGCUCAGGGAGAGGCCUGGUCCUCGCCGCGGAGGGAUGUGAGUGGGAGCUGAGCCCACACUGGAGGGCCCCCGAGGGCCCAGCCUGGAGGUCGCUCAGAGCCGUGCCCGCCUCGGGGCUUCGCAGACCUUGGCCCGCCGGAUAGGAGCCGCCCCUGCGGGCUCAAGGGCGCACUCUGGUCGCCCCAUCUGUGUAACCGGUUUCAGAAGAAGGCAACAGGAACAAGAUGUGAGCUGUUUCUCUUCUGCAGAAAAAGAGGCUCUUCCUCCUCCUCCCGCGACGGUGGGUGUGCUGUCCUUUAUCGCUGCAGUAAAGGCGAAGAAGGUGUCGCGAGCUGGGAGUGCGUGCGUAGGAAGGCUGGAAGCGUGUGAAAACAGGCAGGGCUCAUUGUUGCUUACUCCUCUGAAAAUGCAAAUAUUCUGAAAAAGACUCUGCACGGGAAUGGCCUGCCUUACUAUGACAGAAAUGGAGGGAACAUCCACAUCUUCUAUAUAUCAGAAUGGUGAUAUUUCUGGAAAUGCCAAUUCUAUGAAGCAAAUAGAUCCAGUCCUUCAGGUGUAUCUUUACCAUUCCCUUGGGAAAUCUGAGGCAGAUUAUCUGACCUUUCCAUCUGGGGAGUAUGUUGCAGAAGAAAUCUGUAUUGCUGCUUCUAAAGCUUGUGGUAUCACACCUGUGUAUCAUAAUAUGUUUGCUUUAAUGAGUGAAACAGAAAGGAUCUGGUAUCCACCCAACCAUGUCUUCCAUAUAGAUGAGUCAACCAGGCAUAAUGUACUCUACAGAAUAAGAUUUUACUUUCCUCGUUGGUAUUGCAGCGGCAGCAACAGAGCCUAUCGUCAUGGAAUAUCUCGAGGUGCUGAAGCUCCUCUUCUUGAUGACUUUGUCAUGUCUUACCUCUUUGCUCAGUGGCGGCAUGAUUUUGUGCAUGGAUGGAUAAAAGUACCUGUGACUCAUGAAACACAGGAAGAAUGUCUUGGGAUGGCAGUGUUAGAUAUGAUGAGAAUAGCCAAAGAAAAUGAUCAAACCCCACUGGCCAUCUAUAAUUCUAUCAGCUACAAGACAUUCUUACCAAAAUGUAUUCGAGCAAAGAUCCAAGACUAUCAUAUUUUGACAAGGAAGCGAAUAAGGUACAGAUUUCGCAGAUUUAUUCAGCAGUUCAGCCAAUGCAAAGCCACUGCCAGAAACUUGAAACUUAAGUAUCUUAUAAAUCUGGAAACCCUGCAGUCUGCCUUCUACACAGAGAAAUUUGAAGUAAAAGAACCUGGAAGUGGUCCUUCAGGUGAGGAGAUUUUUGCAACCAUUAUAAUAACUGGAAACGGUGGAAUUCAGUGGUCAAGAGGGAAACAUAAAGAAAGUGAGACACUGACAGAACAGGAUUUACAGUUAUAUUGCGAUUUUCCUAAUAUUAUUGAUGUCAGUAUUAAGCAAGCAAACCAAGAGGGUUCAGAUGAAAGCCGAGUUGUAACUAUCCAUAAGCAAGAUGGUAAAAAUCUGGAAAUUGAACUUAGCUCAUUAAGGGAAGCUUUGUCUUUCGUGUCAUUAAUUGAUGGAUAUUAUAGAUUAACUGCAGAUGCACAUCAUUACCUCUGUAAAGAAGUAGCACCUCCAACAGUGCUUGAAAAUAUACAAAGCAACUGUCAUGGCCCAAUUUCGAUGGAUUUUGCCAUUAGUAAACUGAAGAAAGCAGGUAAUCAGACUGGACUGUAUGUACUUCGAUGCAGUCCUAAGGACUUUAAUAAAUAUUUUCUGACUUUUGCUGUCGAGCGAGAAAAUGUCAUUGAAUAUAAACACUGUUUGAUUACAAAAAAUGAGAAUGAAGAGUACAACCUCAGUGGGACAAAGAAGAACUUCAGCAGUCUUAAAGAUCUUUUGAAUUGUUACCAGAUGGAAACCGUUCGCUCAGACAAUAUAAUUUUCCAGUUUACUAAGUGCUGUCCCCCAAAGCCAAAAGAUAAAUCAAACCUUCUAGUCUUCAGAACGAAUGGUGUUUCUGAUGUACCAACCUCACCAACAUUACAGAGGCCUACUCAUAUGAACCAAAUGGUGUUUCACAAAAUCAGAAAUGAAGAUUUGAUAUUUAAUGAAAGCCUUGGUCAAGGCACUUUUACAAAGAUUUUUAAAGGCAUACGAAGAGAAGUAGGAGACUAUGGUCAACUUCAUGAAACAGAAGUUCUUUUAAAAGUUCUGGAUAAAGCACAUAGAAACUAUUCAGAGUCUUUCUUUGAAGCAGCAAGCAUGAUGAGCAAGCUUUCUCACAAGCAUUUGGUUUUAAAUUAUGGAGUAUGUGUCUAUGGAGAGGAGAAUAUUCUGGUUCAAGAGUUUGUAAAAUUUGGAUCACUCGAUACAUACCUGAAAAAGAAUAAAAAUUGUAUAAAUAUAUUAUGGAAACUUGAAGUUGCGAAACAGUUGGCAUGGGCCAUGCAUUUUCUAGAAGAAAACACCCUUAUUCAUGGGAAUGUGUGCGCCAAAAAUAUUCUACUUAUCAGAGAAGAAGACAGGAAGACAGGAAAUCCUCCUUUCAUCAAACUUAGUGAUCCUGGCAUUAGUAUUACAGUUUUGCCAAAGGACAUUCUUCAGGAGAGAAUACCAUGGGUACCACCUGAAUGCAUUGAAAAUCCUAAAAAUUUAAAUUUGGCAACAGACAAAUGGAGUUUUGGUACCACUUUGUGGGAAAUCUGCAGUGGAGGAGAUAAACCUCUAAGUGCCCUGGAUUCUCAAAGAAAGCUGCAAUUUUAUGAAGAUAGGCACCAGCUUCCUGCACCAAAGUGGGCAGAAUUAGCAAACCUUAUAAAUAAUUGUAUGGAUUAUGAACCCGAUUUCAGGCCUUCUUUCAGAGCCAUCAUACGAGAUCUUAACAGUUUGUUUACUCCAGAUUAUGAACUAUUAACAGAAAAUGACAUGUUACCAAAUAUGAGGAUAGGUGCCCUAGGGUUUUCUGGUGCCUUUGAAGACAGGGAUCCUACACAGUUUGAAGAGAGACAUUUGAAAUUUCUACAGCAACUCGGCAAGGGUAAUUUUGGGAGUGUGGAGAUGUGCCGGUAUGACCCUCUACAGGACAACACUGGGGAGGUGGUGGCUGUAAAAAAGCUUCAGCAUAGUACAGAAGAGCACCUGAGAGACUUUGAAAGGGAAAUUGAAAUCCUGAAAUCCCUACAGCAUGACAACAUUGUAAAGUACAAGGGAGUGUGCUACAGUGCUGGUCGGCGUAAUCUAAAAUUAAUUAUGGAAUAUUUACCAUAUGGAAGUUUACGAGACUAUCUUCAAAAACAUAAAGAACGGAUAGAUCACAAAAAACUUCUGCAGUACACAUCUCAGAUAUGCAAGGGUAUGGAGUAUCUUGGUACAAAAAGGUAUAUCCACAGGGAUCUGGCAACAAGAAAUAUAUUGGUGGAGAAUGAGAACAGAGUUAAAAUUGGAGAUUUUGGGUUAACCAAAGUGUUGCCACAAGACAAAGAAUACUAUAAAGUAAAAGAACCUGGUGAAAGUCCCAUAUUCUGUGUUCUUCAUAUAUUACAGGUAUGCUCCAGAAUCACUGACAGAGAGCAAGUUUUCUGUGGCCUCAGAUGUUUGGAGCUUUGGAGUGGUUCUGUAUGAACUUUUCACAUACAUUGAGAAGAGUAAAAGUCCACCAGCGGAAUUUAUGCGUAUGAUUGGCAAUGAUAAACAAGGACAGAUGAUCGUGUUCCAUUUGAUAGAACUUUUGAAGAAUAAUGGAAGAUUACCAAGACCAGAUGGAUGCCCAGAUGAGAUUUAUAUGAUCAUGACAGAAUGCUGGAACAAUAAUGUAAAUCUACGCCCCUCCUUUAGAGAUCUAGCUCUUCGAGUGGAUCAAAUAAGGGAUAACAUGGCUGGAUGAAAGAAAUGUCCUUCAUUCUGAGAACAAAGUAUAUUUAUAGAACAAAGUUUUCUAUUUCACAUUGCUGUGGACUAUUAUUAGAUAUAUCAUUAUUAUAUAAAUCAUGAUGCGAGCCAGCAAAGAUGUGAAAAUAUCUGCUCAAAACUUUCAAAGUUUAGUAAGUUUUUCUUCAUGAGGUCACCAGUAAAAGACAUUAAUGAGAAUUCCUUAGCAAGGAGUUUUGUAAGAAGUUUCUUAAACAUUGUCAGUUAACAUCACUCAUGUCUGGCAAAAGAAAAAAAAAAGACUUUUUCAACUCAGCUUUUUGAGAUGUGAAAAAAUUAUUAUGUAAAUUUUGCGAUGUUAAAGAUGCACAGAAUAUGUAUGUAUAGUUUUUACCACAGUGGAUGUAUAAUACCUUGGCAUCUUGUGUGAUGUUUUAUACACAUGAGGGCUGGUGUUCAUUAAUACUGUUUUCUAAUUUUUCCAUAGUUUAUCUAUAACUACUUCACUAUACAAACAAAUUAGAUAUUCAGAUAAUUGAAUAAGUACUUUUGUGUCCUUGUUCAUUUAUAUCACUGGCCAGCAUUAUAAGCAGGUGUAUACUUUUAGCUUGUGUACUGUAAAUAUUUUUCAAGUAAAGGGAACAAAUGUCUAGUUUUAUUUGUAUAGGAAAUUUCCCUGACCCUAAAGAAUACAUUUUGAAAUGAAACAAGCUUACAAAGACAUAAUCUAUUUUCUUAUGGUUUCCCUUGUAUCUAUUUGUGGUGAAUGUGUUUUUUAAAUGGAACUAUCUCCAAAUUUUUCUAAGACUACUGUGAACAGUUUUCUUUUAAAAUGUUGAGAUUAAGAAUGCGAGGAACAUUGUCAUCCUUUGAGCUGCUGACUGCCAAUAAGAUUCUUCAAUCUCUGAGAUCUAUGCUCAUGAAUUAAAUUUAAGCAUAAGCCAUAAAAUAGAUUGUUUUUAAAAUGGAUAGCACAUUAAGAAGUGUAGCAGGUUAAGAAUUUUUUCCUAAAGAUUGUAUAUUUGAGGGGUUUCAGAACUUUGCGUUGCAGUCAUAGAAGAGAUUUAUUUCCUUUUUAGAGGGAAAAUGAGGUAAGUGAAAAAGUAUGCUUAAUUUUAUUCAAGAAUGCCAGUAGAAAAUUCAUAAUGUGUAUCUUUAAGAAAAAUGAGAGCAUACAUCUUUCCAAUUAAGUAUAAGGGGUUGUUCGUUGUUGUCAUUUGUUAUAUUGCUACUCCACUUUAGACAGCAUACCUAAAAUAAAAUAUGGUGGGUUUUUCGUGUGUGUGUGGGUUAUUUAUACAAACUUAAAAUACUUGCUAUUUUGAUUAAAAAGAAAAUAGUUUCUUACUUUAUUUUUAGUGGCAUGUUCUACUUUUUUAAAACUUGUACUGAAGACUUCUCAUUUUGCGUUGAAGGGAAGGAAAAGGAAGAAAUGUUUUUUACAUUCAUUAUACUUAAAGCAUUUUAAUAGUUCUGGAUGCAGAAAUAAUCUAAAAUGACAGUGAAUUAGGUUUUAAAAAAGAUUUUAGAUUUUUUUGAAAAUUUAAUUUUUAUUUAAUUUGUAAAGACUCCUGAAGGAUUUGUAUAUGCAACACAGUUAAGAGAUUUUCCAUUUUACUACCUUGCAAGUGAAAAAUAGCCUAUCAUAUAAUAUGCUUGAUUCCAGAUUUUCAUACUAAAACUUAAGUACAUACUUAAAAGUAGGUUCUUCUCAAGGAUCUCUAACAUUCUGUUUUUUAAAACAAGAUGUGAACUAACUUUUCUUAAAGUUUUUAAAAAAUGCUUCAUCUUUUAGUUUUAUAUAAAGAAUCCCACAUGUACAUUCUUGUUUUUAAAAUGGGAUGACUACCUUAUUAUAAAAUUCCAAGUUUCCAAGAGACUUCUUUUCAUUGAGGCUUCAUAAAGUUUUCCAUUUUGAUUCUGACUACACAUAAAAAUAAGCUAACCCUGUAGCUAUUAAGUUGGUUUUGUACAAGAAACAGGUAAGUAAUUAUCGUAGCAGUUAAUGCCAAAAUAUUUUUUCACAUUAAUAUUCUUCAGAAACAAGGGUAAAGGUAUUCUUAGAAUUAUGUAAUUCUGUAACUUUACAGUAUAUUAAGUUAUAUAAUCUUUAUAUAAAUGAUUUUCUUUUUCCAUGGGUACUUGCUUGGAAAAUAGUCACUUUUUCAUGCUAUUUAUACAUGCUGCCAGUAACACUGUAAUUUGCUGUGAAAGAGCAUUCUUUUAACCUAAGACUGCUACUUUACAGUCAAGUGUAAUUUUUAUUACAACUAUAACUUCUAGUAUUUGAAUUUUAUUUAAACAGCUAGAAAAUAGUUAGAAAAUACCUACAGUUCUAUAUCUGUAGAGCCAAUCUCCAUGGUGGGUGUGGCAUUAUGUGCUCAAUUUAUUGAGACUAUGUUAAUUUCUUUACCAUGUUCCCCCUAAACUGAAAUAGUGAUGUAGUAAAUAUUCAGAAGUGAUUUUCUUUUGCAUUUUUACCUAAUCAAGGAAACGGGCCACACACAUUGGUUUAGGGAUGUUAUGAUAGUUUACCUUCCAGUUUUUAAGAAAUGCUUCCUACAACUGCUAUCAACCACUGUACUGUCUUUAAUGAACAUUGUUGUAUCCCACCCUAAUUCUUGUAUUCAAAUUAUUUCUCAUGAAAGUUUCUCUAAUAUUUCUAAUGAAAGUUUCUCUAAUUUUGGGGAAUAAUUUACUAAGAAUCAGUUUGCUGUAUAUUAGAAUAAAUAAUAACAGUAAGUCAGCAGGAUUAUCCAAACAAAAGACUAGGUUUUAUGAGAUAAGCUUGAUUAAUUAAGAAAAAAAUUAAUUAAAGUAUGAAUAUCAGAAAUACUGUGUGUUUACUCUCAGAUUUUAGCUGGUUGGAUUUAAUAUCAAGAUAACUAGCUGCUAAAUGUUUCAUAAUUCUGACAGUGAUAUUAGAUUUCAAAAUGACACCAAGAGAACGGAAAAACUACAUUAGUCAAAUCCAUGUAUGUAUGUCAUACAGCCUUUAACUUUUUAAUCAGAUUCUUAGUAAAAUGCACAUUAUAUGCCUAAAUAUUAAAAUAUUUACUUUUAUAACCUUACCUUUUUACUAUAAUAUAAAUAAAAUUCUUCUUAGGUUAAAAAAUUAAUUCCAAUUGUGUUUAUGCCAGAUGGCAUUGCUUAGUUGCUGCAGGCUCUCAAUACGUUUCAUUCUUUUUUAUACUCUUUCACAUUUUUAAGGAAAAGCCUUACCUCCAACUGAAACACCAGUCUUACUAAUACGGUUUUAAAAGUUGUUAAUGGUCAUUAUCUAUUAUAAGGCCUUUAUUUAUAUAACAAAUUGCUUAACAUUUUAUUUUGAAUAUAACUGUAACAGAUUUUUAAAAUGAGACCUUCAAAAGAGCUCUAAGAGUCCCUGUUCUAGUUAUUUGCAUUACAAGCUUCUGUGAAUGUUUUAAUUUUAAUACCAGUAGUAGGAAGAUAAUGGCAGUGGAAGCACGCAUAUACAUGCUAUUUAUUGAGGUAAAGUCAUCUUUGAGCAGUG